AGUGAACGCUGGCGGUAGGCCUAACACAUGCAAGUCGAACGGCAGCACAGUAAGAGCUUGCUCUUACGGGUGGCGAGUGGCGGACGGGUGAGGAAUACAUCGGAAUCUACUUUUUCGUGGGGGAUAACGUAGGGAAACUUACGCUAAUACCGCAUACGACCUACGGGUGAAAGCAGGGGAUCGUCGGACCUUGCGCGAUUGAAUGAGCCGCUGUCGGAUUAGCUAGUUGGCGGGGUAAAGGCCCACCAAGGCGACGAUCCGUAGCUGGUCUGAGAGGAUGAUCAGCCACACUAGAACUGAGACACGGUCCAGACUCCUACGGGAGGCAGCAGUGGGGAAUAUUGGACAAUGGGCGCAAGCCUGAUACAGCCAUACCGAGUGGGUGAAGAAGGCCUUCGGGUUGUAAAGCCCUUUUGUUGGGAAAGAAAAGCAGCAGGUUAAGACCCCGCUGUUCUGACGGUACCCAAAGAAUAAGCACCGGCUAACUUCGUG
rnacentral:rRNA from 1 species